GUUAACUUCUAUUCAUAUCCAAAUACUAGUUCUUGUCCGAUCACUAAUGUUGAGUGACGUUGAGCAAGAUUAGUACUUGAUUGGGUGACUGUUUGAGAACACCGUGUGAAAUUGACA
rfam:Atta colombica isolate Treedump-2 unplaced genomic scaffold scaffold12, whole genome shotgun sequence.